rnacentral:rRNA from 8 species
UGCCUGGCGGCUUUAGCGCGGUGGUCCCACCUGACCCCAUGCCGAACUCAGAAGUGAAACGCCGUAGCGCCGAUGGUAGUGUGGGGUCUCCCCAUGUGAGAGUAGGGAACUGCCAGGCAU